rnacentral:lncRNA from 10 species
ACAGCACUCGAGUAUUAGUUAAGAAACAAUCUAGUCUGCUAUAAUAAGAAACUCACAAUGCAAUGACUUAAACAAGGAAGAAAUUCAUGUCAUUCUCAUGUAACAAUCUAAGGAGCCUGGAUAUCUAGAAGCUCAGCUAUGCUGGGACUGAGGCUCCUUCCUUCUCAAUAUCUGAAAUUCUGAAGGCAAUACUCUUGUCCUAAAGGAAAUGUGUAAUGUGAAGUUAACCUCAAUGUGAUGUGCCAAGGGCAUGUGAAAUCACAAGGAGAAAGUGCAGUAUUUACUGAGUGAGCAGCUAUUCCAGUCAAUGCCAUUCACAGCAUCCAAAGACAACAGAGUUGCUGGAUCACUGCCAGGCCCCAGGCAUUGAAGCCUUGCUUGCUGCAAUUCUCUUUGGCUAAGUUAGGCACAUACUAAAAUGGAUACAAGGAUCCCAUAGCAAUUGCCUUGUAAGACACUUAAAGGCAACUGAUCACAAGGUGGACAAGGGAAAGCUUUCAAGAACCCUGAAAUUGAAUUUGGAGUCACUAAUACAGCUAGGGAAUGAUAGCGUGGAAUGUCUCAAGGUCGCUUGCAACAGAGAAAGGGGGCCUUAUUUCAAAGAAAUUGCCCUGUCUGCCAGGAUAAAAAUGAGACACACACAGCAAAGAGAAAAGAGCAGCUGCUACAGAGCAUUACCAAGGGAGAGACUGCAAAACAAAUCAUCAGUGGGAAGGAGAAUGAGGAACACCACGAAUUUCUUCCAUCACUGGACAAGAAGCGCUCUCUCCUCUAAUUCAUAGGAUAAAAAGAAAGCUGGCUCCAAAUGGCCAUUUAAGCCCAGUAGGGCCCUUUGCAAGAAUGCGAAAGAGAGAAGAUAACAUGAUUUUCUCCACUGUGUCAAGAUGCAAUGGCUACAUAUACCUCCUGCAGCUGAAUUAUAAAGGCUGGAGCGUGCUUGCGACCAUUUGGACCACAUGGUUCCCGCUGUCAAAAGACAUUUCAGCUAGUGCCUCUGUACUCUGAAAAAUACCUGGAAAGGACACACCAGAAAGAAGAAGCCACUGAACAGGAAAAGGCCAUGAGAGAUGAGAAGAUGAUCAACGGAAGAGGAUAUAGGAUGAAGAUACACAAGUUCGGGUGGGGAGGAGAUGAAGAAAAAGAAGAGGAUAAUUGGAAGGAAAUAUCUUUCUCUACCCCUGACCAAAUUGACUGGUUUGAGUUUGUUGCCUGACGUAAGCAGCAUCAAUGGGCCCAAGGCUGUGGUACAUAAAGCCCACAAACUAUGUGGAUCACGGUAUUCAUCCAGAUUGGAGAAGAAUAAGGCUGCCAUUUUAGGCCAAAAGGGAGGAGAAUAAGGUGACUAUGAUGUUCAAGAAACUAUUUCUUAUUGUUUCUGAGGCUCAGAUGACUCCAUGAUCUCUGUUAUUUGGGCAGUCCAUGAAAUAAUCUAGUGUCCUUUCAUUGAUUUCCUUCUGCUUAUACUAAUUUAAGUUGGGUUUCUAUUAUGUGCAUUCAAAAGUGUAACUAAACUUUAUCUACGUGGCUCCAUUUCCUACUGUAUGCCUCUAUGCACCUUCUGUUCUACUCACUCUGAACUAUUUAACUGAUAUGGUUUGGCUGUGUCCCCACCCAAAUCUCAUCUUGAAUUGUAGCUUCCAUAAUCCCCAGUUGUUGUAGGGGGGGAAUGUUCAUAAUCAUUAUGUCCAAAGACAGAAACCACAACAAAACAUGAUGAUAUAUUUGACUACAUAAAAUGUUAAAUUUAAAUAUCAAAAACCCAUCAAUGAAUAAAUAAGGAAUAUUUAAAGUUUUGCACAUAAUAACACAUUUAGAGAAAUAACAUAUUUUAUUUUCAAUUGCAUAUAUAUAAUAUGUUAUUUUAUUAUUAUUAUUAUUAUUGAGAUGGAAUCUCACUCUGUCGCCCAGGCUGGAAUGCAGUGGAGCGAUCUCGGCUCACUGCAACCUCUGCCUCCCAGGUUCAAGUGAUUCUCCUUCCUCAGCCUCCUGAGUAGCCAGGAUUACAGGUGCCCGCCACCAUGCCUGGCUAAGUUUUUGGUGUUUUUUAAGUAGAGAUGGGGUUUCACCAUAUUGGCCAGGCUGGUUUCAAACUUCUGACCUCAAGUGAUCUGCCCGCCUUGGCCUCCCAAAGUGCUAGGAUUAAAGGUGUGAGUCACCCACGUGGCUAAUAUGUUAUUUUAGUUGCAUAAAUGUAAUAUAUUUUAGUAGUCUUUUUAGUAUUAAAAUGACUAAUUAUGCAAGUUGAUAAUAGAAAGAUGAAUAUCUGAAUAGAGAAAUAGGCAAAUAACACAAGUAAAAAAUUUUUUAAAUUAAAUAUAAAAAUAACAAACAUUUGUACAUUUUUAAAUUGUACUAGAAAUGGAGGAACAACUACUUAACUGUUUAGUCCCUGGUUUGCCCACCCACUCACACAUCUCAUAGCAUAUCCACAACAUGUUGUGUAUUUCUCUAUUGCUUUUCUCAUUCAUCUCUGUAUUGUGGUUAUUUUACCACCUGUCUCUCUCACUAGACUUUAAUUCCUUUUGGAAAACCCAAUGUUCUGUUUCUCUUUCAUGCAUUAACUCGCAGCAUUUAGUUGGGCUCCAUGAAGGUUUAUGGAAUGAAUGAUUUGGGUGAGAGAGUGUCUUAAAAUGGGCAUGCUCCACUAAAUAAUUUGUCAUUGUCUCUCUAAAGCUGCAAGGUAAAUGUCUUUACUUCCUGUGAUAUUUGUUCCUGUAAUUGAAAAAUCUCUAUUCUUUGUAUUAAUGCCUUAUUUUUCUGAUUUGUC